GGGCUGAACAGCUGGGCUGCUAUUGUUGGAGCAGUGUAGUGGAUGCCUGGAGUAUUGGAGGAGUGGGCUGGAGAAGUGCAGGCAGGUGCACAGAUAGGGCUCUACCUGUGCAGAGCACAUGCCCCUUUGCCCUUCCAGUCUCCAAAGUGCCCUUUCCGCUGGUGGUAUAAUAUCUACAAAAAUUGUAUACUUUUUUGUCGUUGUUGUUCUGAACCCACUGCCUGCAAGUCAUCGUUAAAUUGUCAUCUAUGCUCAGGCGCGCAUAUCCAAAUUAGUAACAGUCUACUGGGGCCCUGGAGUACUGGAGGUGUACUGGAGGUGUGGGCUGGAGCAGUCUACUGGGGCCCUGGAGUACUGGAGUACUGGAGCAGUGUACUUGGGUCCUGGAGUACUGGAGGUGUGGGCUGGAGCAGUGUACUGGGGCCCUGGAGUACUGGAGGUGUGGGCUGAAGCAGUGUACUGGGGCCCUGGAGUACUGGAGUACUGGAGCAGUGUACUUGGGCCCUGGAGUACUGGAGUACUGGAGCAGUGUACUGGGGCCCUGGAGUACUGGAGUACUGGAGCAGUGUACUUGGGCCCUGGAGUACUGGAGUACUGGAGCAGUGUACUUGGGCCCUGGAGUACUGGAGGUGUGGGCUGGAGCAGUGUACUGGGGCCCUGGAGUACUGGAGGUGUGGGCUGGAGCAGUGUACUGGGGCCCUGGAGCAGUGUACUUGGGCCCUGGAGUACUGGAGGUGUGGGCUGGAGCAGUGUACUUGGGCUGGGCUGGGAGUUGUACAGUCAGCCAGCAUGUCUGCCUCUAAUCAGGAGCAAUGACAAGGUCCUGCUUGGGAACCUAGCAGCAAACUGCCAUAGAGGUUUAUACUGUAACAAUGCAGAGAGAGAGAGAGCUUGAGCUCAACACACAUUCAGUAUACAGUAGGUUCACACCAUAAUAGAGAGAGAAUGGCCUGAUAUGCACCCAGCAAACACAUUCCUGUACUCAGUUUUAGCUAAAGGCUUGUUAAUCUCAUUUCCAAGUUGAAGAAUUUACAAACUAGCAGCCCAUUUUCCUAUCUAGUUGUACGCUCUGUUUCAGUUUCAGUUUGGCCUUAGUUUGGUAUCGGCAGGGGAAGGAGGAUUGUUGGGAAAAUGUGUUCAUUGGCAAAUGUAUCAAACUUGAGUCCAUAUUUCCUAUAUUGGUUGCAGUGGACAACAAAUGAGGAGCAGUGUUUCAUGUGAGCAAAACUAGGAAGUGGUUUGGAUAGGGUGCUUGGCUCAUUGACAUGGUUACAGUAAUCUGAGCGUAUGACGUCUGUAGUGUAGUGUAGACUUCAGUCUGUGGAGAGACAGUGCUGGCCUAGACAAAUAUGAUUAGGCCUUGUUACGGUUUACCUCACUAGUACUGCCCAGUCUAACUUAGUCUAGCCCAAUGAACAUGAACACAGGAGCACAGCCAAUAGCAGGGCAGUAAUCUGAUUUUAACAGGAAGCUGCGUGGACCAGGGUGUACGUCUCACAUGACUGCUUUAACAAAGGAAAUGGAAUAUGCACCUAGCCAUGGCUGGAGCUGGGCUAGUCCAGGGGGUUGGCUUAGAGUUAGGGCCAGUGAGGUAGGGCCUGUGGGGUUAGGGCCAGUGAG
rnacentral:lncRNA from 1 species